rnacentral:lncRNA from 1 species
AGCUCCCUUUUAUAGAUCGAAAAGCAAAUAUAGCCGUUAGACACAAAGAUAUGGAAGUUUGAAAUUCAAACAAACCUGAAAAAGUGUGUCAGUCGCGUCCCAGGCGCUCCGGAGACGUCUCCGCUUCAACGCGAGACGUCUCGGCUGUAUAAACUUUCUUUUGACGUUGUUUGGGGUCGACUCUGCGCUUUACGGGGACGACUCCGCAGAAGGUCUCUUUGACUUCUUGUUUUUCUGUUUUUCUGAGAGAGUCGGCUCGGCACUUUACGGGGAUGUCUCAGGAUGUUUACGCUUUUUGCAUGGGGACGACUCCGCUGCCUCGGGGACGACUCUGCUGGUUUAUCUCUGAAAAAUAUGUCCUCUGGAAUUCUCUGAGAGAGUCGACUCCGCACUCUCUGGGGACGACUCGGGAAGUCUGCUUUUUACUUGCGGGGACGACUCCGCUUCCUGUGGAGGCGACUCGCGCGCAUCCCUUGAAAUCGGCCUUUCUGCCGCCUCUGAGAGAGUCGACUCCGCAGUGUCGGGAGUCGACUCCGACCCUGCGAGACGCCUCACCAGGUGCCGGGGACGUCUCCAGACGUGCCAAUUCUUCCUGUCUGUGCCAGAGACGUCUCUGAGACGACCCGGAGACGUCUCGGCUGUCCCUGAUCUGUUUUCUUCAACUCAAAAAUUCUUCAAUAAAUUCUUGAAAAAUAUGGAAACUUGCCUAGAUAUUUCUUAACAAUAUUCUUAGUUAAUCACCUGAAAUCCUCAAGUAAAUUGUUAAGAUAAA